UGCGGAGGGAGCUAGCGUCGUUCGGAUUUACUGGGCGUAAAGCGCACGUAGGCGGUUUGUUAAGUCAGAGGUGAAAUCCCACAGCUCAACUGUGGAACUGCCUUUGAUACCGGCAAGCUAGAGUCCGGAAGAGGUAAGUGGAACUCCUAGUGUAGAGGUGGAAUUCGUAGAUAUUAGGAAGAACACCAGUGGCGAAGGCGGCUUACUGGUCCGGAACUGACGCUGAGGUGCGAAAGCGUGGGGAGCAAACAGG
rnacentral:rRNA from 1 species